rnacentral:tRNA from 1 species
GCCUUCGUGUAAUGGUAGCACACUCGACGCCUAUUCAAGAGGUCCAGGUUCGAGUCCCGGCGAGGGCA